rnacentral:rRNA from 1 species
UACAGAGGGUGCGAGCGUUAAUCGGAGUUACUGGGCGUAAAGGGCGCGUAGGCGGUAAGAUGUGUGUGAUGUGAAAGCCCCGGGCUUAAACCUGGGAAGUGCAUCGCAAACUAUCUAACUGGAGUAUAUGAGAGGGUGGCGGAAUUUCCGGUGUAGCGGUGAAAUGCGUAGAGAUCGGAAGGAACGUCAAUGGCGAAGGCAGCCACCUGGCAUAAAUACUGACGCUGAGGCGCGAAAAGCGUGGGGAGCGAACAGG